rnacentral:tRNA from 1 species
UUAUAAAAUGUAAUUUUAAUUUUACAAUGAAAAUGUAAUGUUUUAUUUAAACUAUAUAAAAUUGAAAU